GCAUUAAAUACUUCACAAUGUUGUACAACCAUCAUCACUAUCUAUUUCCAGAACUUUCUCAUCAUGACAAACAGAAACUCUGUACCCAUUAAACAACCUGAACUGGGUUUUAAAGGAGGAGUGGGAAAGAAAAUGUCGUGGGUCAGAAUGGCAUUGCAGACACAGGGGACACACAGCGUGUUAUGUGUGUAGGAACUACAAGCAGUUGAUUGCUGAUUUUUGUUUUAAAUAGACCCCUUUCUCCAGUGCUGUGUGGAGGUUGGAUUUGAAGAGGAGAAAGCUGGGAGCAAGAGACCAGUAGAGCUGUUGCCGUGGUACAGGCAGAGGUAACAGAAUAACAGGAAUCAAUAUAAACAACCUAAGUGGAAUACCUCGGAAAGAAAGAAAUAUUAUUUUUGCUGAUGCACAAGUUUUAUUUUGAAAAAUCAUGAAGAUCUCCAUUAGGAAAUCAUUCUUCCUUGGCAUUGUGUUGCAUGCUCAACAAAUAGAAGAUGAGAAAACGGAGACCCAGAGAUGUUACAGAACUUGCUCAUCAAGUGUAUCCAGCCAGUGUGACAAUUUAUACGGAAGAAUCAGAUGGCUUUCUGGGUUGUGGAAAUUUCUGCCACCUCCUUCUACAGUAUUGGAACUGGCAGGAUUUCUGGAAUCAUCAGGUUCCACCCGGUGCUAGAGGUAUGACCUAAAUCUUUAGCUGUCUUUCUCCCAUGGAAAAUGGUAAACAAAUCCUUGUUGGCAAAAUGAAUGAAUAUUUAUUUCUUAAAUUUCAGUGAGAAUAUAAUAACUUUUGGUUAUUUAUAUUUACACUCCCAAGCACAUCUGCUCAUGUUAUCUCAACCACAUUCCUCAAAUACAACUUUUUUCAGUGCUAACUGCUCCAAACAUCUAAAUAUCGGCAUAGGUACAGAAUCCGUUGACUGUUAAUACUUUUCACAUUUCCUUGCUGAAUGUAUGCUUUAGAGAAACUUUAAAAGAUGAUCUGUCUGAUCGAGAGGCCCCUUGGUCCUCGAAAUGUUCUCAGCUUUUAGCGUUGAAACAAUAAUGAUUUGCUUCGUUUGUGCACUACACACCAAUGACACAAGCUAACUGCGUAUCUACUAUGAAAUCAUGUCUAUUAUUACAUGCAUAACUACACAUUAACUCCAUUGGAAACACUGUUAAUGACACAGUAUGUUACGUUAAUGCACCUGUGUUAUCAUCUGA